AGCCCCGUGGUGGAGUACACGUAAGAUUGCAAAUCUUAAGACGCAGAGUAACGCCUGCCGGGGCUU
rnacentral:tRNA from 1 species